AUCCUGGCUCAGGAUGAACGCUGGCGGCGUGCUUAACACAUGCAAGUCGAACGAAGCACUUACAAUUGAUUCUUCGGAUGAAAGAGUUUGUGACUGAGUGGCGGACGGGUGAGUAACGCGUGGGUAACCUGCCUCAUACAGGGGGAUAACAGUUAGAAAUGACUGCUAAUACCGCAUAAGCGCACAGUACCGCAUGGUACGGUGUGAAAAACUCCGGUGGUAUGAGAUGGACCCGCGUCUGAUUAGCUAGUUGGUGGGGUAACGGCUCACCAAGGCAACGAUCAGUAGCCGGCCUGAGAGGGUGAACGGCCACAUUGGGACUGAGACACGGCCCAAACUCCUACGGGAGGCAGCAGUGGGGAAUAUUGCACAAUGGGGGAAACCCUGAUGCAGCGACGCCGCGUGAGCGAUGAAGUAUUUCGGUAUGUAAAGCUCUAUCAGCAGGGAAGAAAAUGACGGUACCUGACUAAGAAGCACCGGCUAAAUACGUG
rnacentral:rRNA from 1 species